UACGUAGGGUGCAAGCGUUGUCCGGAAUUAUUGGGCGUAAAGAGCUUGUAGGCGGUUUGUCGCGUCUGCUGUGAAAUUUCGGGGCUCAACCCCGAACUUGCAGUGGGUACGGGCAGACUAGAGUGUGGUAGGGGAGACUGGAAUUCCUGGUGUAGCGGUGAAAUGCGCAGAUAUCAGGAGGAACACCAAUGGCGAAGGCAGCUCGCUGGGACGUGACUGACGCUGAGACGCGAAAGCGUGGGGAGCGAACAGG
rnacentral:rRNA from 1 species